CUUAUACAACUUUCAACAACGGAUCUCUUGGCUCUCGCAUCGAUGAAGAACGCAGCGAAAUGCGAUAAGUAAUGUGAAUUGCAGAAUUCAGUGAAUCAUCGAAUCUUUGAACGCACCUUGCGCUCCUUGGUAUUCCGAGGAGCAUGCCUGUUUGAGUGUCAUUAAAUUCUCAAUCCUUUCUGGGUUUACUCUCAGUUGGGCUUGGAUAUGGGGGUUUUGCUGGCUUUGCAUAAAACAAAGUCAGCUCUCCUGAAAGAUAUUAGCAAGACUUGUUGUUGCAACCCUCUAUCUGGUGUGAUAAUUAUCUACAUCAUAGAUUUGUACACCUAUAUGUCUGGCUUCUAACAGUCCAUUAAAUUGGACAAAACUCUGACAAUUUGACCUCAAAUCAGGUAGGACUACCCGCUGAACUUAAGCAUAUCAAUAAGCGGAGGAAAAGAAACUAACAAGGAUUCCCCUAGUAACUGCGAGUGAAGCGGGAAAAGCUCAAAUUUAAAAUCUGGCAGUCUCUGGCUGUCCGAG
rnacentral:rRNA from 1 species